UCAAGAAUAUUCCUCAAUGGGCGAAAGCCUGAAGGAGCAAUGCCGCGUGACUGAUGAAGCACUUCGGUGCGUAAAGGUCUUUUUUAAGGGAAGAACAAAUGACGGUACCUUAAGAAUAAGGGGUUGCUAACUCUGUGCCAGCAGCAGCGGUAAUACAGAGACCCCGAGCGUUAUCCGGAUUUAUUGGGCGUAAAGAGUACGUAGACGGUUUCCUAAGUUUGUGGUUAAAUCUUGAAGCUUAACUUCGAUACUGCCAUGAAAACUGAGAAACUAGAGGGUGGAAGAGGUCAACGGAAUUGCCAGUGUAACGGUAAAAUGUGUUAAUAUUGGCAAGAACACCAGAAGCGAAAGCGGUUGACUGGUACACUCCUGACGUUGUUGUACGAAAGCGUGGGUAGCGAAUAGG
rnacentral:rRNA from 1 species